rnacentral:rRNA from 1 species
CCUACGGGUGGCAGCAGUGAGGAAUAUUGGUCAAUGGGCGGAAGCCUGAACCAGCCAAGUAGCGUGCAGGAUGACGGCCCUACGGGUUGUAAACUGCUUUUAUACGGGACUAACGCGCCUUACGUGUGGGGCUUUGCAUGUACCGUAGGAAUAAGGACCGGCUAAUUCCGUGCCAGCAGCCGCGGUAAUACGGAAGGGCCGGGCGUUAGCCGGAUUUAUUGGGUUGAAAGGGAGCGUAGCGGGCAUGUCAAGCGUGGUGUGAAAGUUCCGGGCUAAACCCGGGACGUGCAGUGGAAACUGGCGUGCUUGAGUACGGGAGAGGGAGGCGGAAUUCGUGGUGUAGCGGUGAAAUGCUUAGAUAUGACGAAGAACCCCGAUUGCGAAGGCAGCUCACUGCACCGUAACUGACGCUGAUGCUCGAAAGCGUGGGUAUCGAACAGGAUUAGAUACCCUAGUAGUC